rnacentral:tRNA from 1 species
GGGCGCGUGGUGAAACGGCAGACACGCUGGAUUUAGGUUCCAGUUCCGGAAGGAGUGGGGGUUCAAGUCCCCCCGCGCCCACCA